GGUGUUGAUUGUCCAAACGCAAUUCUUGUUACUUCUCCAUAUCCAGGAGUUGUGGAUGGACAACAUGCCCC